AACGAACGCUGGCGGAAUGCUUUACACAUGCAAGUCGGACGGCAGCACGGACUUCGGUCUGGUGGCGAGUGGCGAACGGGUGAGUAACAUAUCGGAACGUAUCCAAUAAUGGGGGAUAACUAAUCGAAAGGUUGGCUAAUACCGCAUACGUCCUACGGGAGAAAGCUAGGGACCUUCGGGCCUGGCGUUAAUGGAGCGGCCGAUAUCGGAUUAGCUAGUUGGUGAGGUAAAGGCUCACCAAGGCGACGAUCCGUAGCUGGUCUGAGAGGACGACCAGCCACACUGGAACUGAGACACGGUCCAGACUCCUACGGGAGGCAGCAGUGGGGAAUUUUGGACAAUGGGCGCAAGCCUGAUCCAGCCAUUCCGCGUGAGUGAAGAAGGCCUUCGGGUUGUAAAGCUCUUUCGCAAGGGAAGAAAACUUAGCCUCUAACAUAGGUUGAGGUUGACGGUACCUUGAUAAGAAGCACCGGCUAACUACGUGCCAGCCGCCGCGGUAAAAC
rnacentral:rRNA from 1 species